rnacentral:rRNA from 1 species
AGAGUUUGAUCAUGGCUCAGAAUCAACGCUGGCGGCAUGCCUAACACAUGCAAGUCGAGCGAGAAAGUGUAGCAAUACAUGAGUAAAGCGGCGCACGGGUGAGUAACACGUGGAUAACCUGCCUCAAAGUGGGGAACAACACCGGGAAACCGGUGCUAAUACCGCAUAUUCUGACUAGGUCUGCGGAUCUGGUCAGGAAAGGAGCAAUUCGCUAUGAGAGGGAUCCGCGGCUGAUUAGCUAGUUGGUGAGGUAAUGGCUCACCAAGGCAACGAUCAGUAGCCGGUCUGAGAGGACGGUCGGCCACACUGGAACUGAGACACGGUCCAGACUCCUACGGGAGGCAGCAGUGGGGAAUUUUUCGCAAUGGGGGCAACCCUGACGAAGCAAUGCCGCGUGGAUGAUGAAGUAUCUCGGUACGUAAAAUCCUUUCGACGGGGACGAAACCGCAAGGUUGACGGUACCCGUAGAAGAAGCCCCGGCUAACUCCGUGCCAGCAGCCGCGGUAAUACGGGGGGGGCAAGCGUUGUUCGGAAUUACUGGGCGUAAAGGGUGCGUAGGCGGUUCUCUAAGUCGGAUGUGAAAACUCUGGGCUCAACCCAGAGCCUGCAUCCGAAACUGGAGGACUAGGGUUCUGGAGGGGAAAGCGGAAUUCCUGGUGUAGCGGUGAAAUGCGUAGAUAUCAGGAGGAACACCGGUGGCGAAGGCGGCUUUCUGGACAGAUACCGACGCUGAGGCACGAAAGCUAGGGGAGCAAACAGGAUUAGAUACCCUGGUAGUCCUAGCCCUAAACCAUGGAUACUUGCUGUGGGGGGGAUUGAAGCCCCUUGUGGCGAAGCUAACGCAUUAAGUAUCCCGCCUGGGGAGUACGGUCGCAAGGCUGAAACUCAAAGGAUUGACGGGGCCCGCACAGCGGUGGAGUAUGUGGUUUAAUUCGACGCAACGCGAAGAACCUUACCUGGGCUCGAACGGCUAGUGACA